rnacentral:rRNA from 1 species
CCCUUAGAUGUUCUGGGCCGCACGCGUGCUGCACUGAGUGGAUCAGCGGGUCAGGUUGCGCGAAAGUGUUUCCUAAUCUUGAAAUCCGCUCGUGAUGGGGAUUGACGGUUGCAAUUUUCCGUCAUGAACGAGGAAUACCUUGUAAGCGCGGGUCAUCAUCCCGCGCUGAAUACGUCCCUGCCCUUUGUACACACCGGCCGUCGCUCCUACCGAUUGAGUGGUCCGGUGAGGCUUUGGGAUCUGAGCGGAAAGAGCGUUUCGCUGUUUCUGCUCGGAAAACUCAGUCGAACCUUAUCAUUUAGAGGAAGGAGAAGUCGUAACA